CCUACGGGAGGCAGCAGUGAGGAAUAUUGGUCAAUGGGCGGGAGCCUGAACCAGCCAAGUCGCGUGAGGGAAGACGGUCCUAUGGAUUGUAAACCUCUUUAGGCGGGGAGCAAUGCCGGGCACGCGUGCCCGGAGGGAGAGUACCCGCAGAAUACGCAUCGGCUAACUCCGUGCCAGCAGCCGCGGUAAUACGGAGGAUGCGAGCGUUAUCCGGAUUUAUGGGGUUUAAAGGGUGCGUAGGCGGAUUUUUAAGUCAGCGGUAAAAUGUCCGGGCUCAACCCGGGCCGGCCGUUGAAACUGGGGAUCUUGAGUGGGCGAGAAGUAGGCGGAAUGCGUGGUGUAGCGGUGAAAUGCAUAGAUAUCACGCAGAACGCCGAUUGCGAAGGCAGCAUACCGGCGCCCGACUGACGCUGAGGCACGAAAGCGUGGGGAUCGAACAGGAUUAGAUACCCCAGUAGUC
rnacentral:rRNA from 1 species